CCGAACCAUCGGUGCCACCGACCCUAUGGUGCCGCCCAGCGGCAAUAGGAGUGAAACAGGAAACACUGAUAAAGUUAAUUUCGUCAGCACACCCAGUGACCCAGAAGGAAGAGAUUUUUUUAACCAUUAUUUGGAUAUCAAAACAACAAUCUACCUCCAGUAGACUAAAGCCUGACUACUAGAGGAAGUUGAUAACAAGAAUCAUGGAAGGGGCUGCACAGAAAUUUGUCUUCUAGACUUCUGCACCAAGUUCAUUGGGAAUCAGAUAACACCCUGCUCAAAGAGUAUGUUAAAAAGAAGAACUUAUCCAGUCUGUCAUCUGUGUUGGCUGAAAAGAAUGAAUGUAGGUUGUUCAAUCUGCAAUGCGACAAGUCAUUGAAGAUUGUUCGAAUCCAGAUAGUGACCGAGUCAGAACUGGUUUAUAUCCUUAAUACAUUCACAUUGCAAAAGAUAUUGAAAUUGCGCUUCAUUUGGAGUUAUCGCUGCAAAGUCUUCUACUAUUUUUAUUCCACGCUCGGCACAGUCGUUAACUACUUCAAGAUUUAAACAAAAGUCUCUAACUGUCCUAU